rnacentral:lncRNA from 1 species
UUAUAAAUGCUCUCAUUUUAAGUUGGGGCAUAAACGUAGGAUGCAGGAGGCAGGCAUGAAUUAAUGAAUAGUAAAGGCCUCUUAAAUUGCCUUAUAAAACUAAGUCCUACCAGGUUCCCCUUUCAUCUCAGCAGAUGUUUUACAGGAUAGAAAUAAAAUCUAUUUUGGUUUUUUAGCGUACCAGAAGAUAAAACAUCUGGCUGAGUGGAUUUUCUCCCCUCUGAUUGCUUACUUCCACUUAAAGCUUUUUUCAUAUAAAAUUUAUUGAUAUUUUAAAAAAUUCUUUCUUAUUAUAAAUGAGUAAUAUUAUCUUAAGUUUAGAAAAUUUGGAAAAAGAAAAACUACAUAGAUGAAUACUACAAUUAACCUUAAUCUUACUACUUGAAGAACUACUAUAAAAUGAUAGAUGGAUAUUCUUUAAACAUUUUUUUCUAUGCUUGUAUACAUUCUUUAAUAUGAGCAGAAUCAAAUUGCAAUAAACUGAUUUUUUAAAAAUUCAUUUAUUCAAGAGAUACUUGGGCUGGGCGCGGUGGCUCAUGCCUGUAAUCCCAGCACUUUGGGAGGCUGCGGCAGGCAGAUCACGAGGUCAGGAGAUCGAGACCAUCCUGGCUAACACAGUGAAACCCCGUCUCUACUAAAAAUACAAAAAAAAUUAGCUUGGCAUGGUACUUUAAAGGAGUGUGUGUGUGUAUGUGCGUGCA